AGCUCCAAUAGCGUAUAUUAAAGUUGUUGCAGUUAAAAAGCUCGUAGUUGGAUUUCUGGUAGAAGGAGCGAGCGCACCUGCGUGAUGCUCGGGUCUUCUGCCAUCCUUCUGUUAACCUUUCUUGGCAUUGAUUUGUCAGCUAGGGGCUCAGAUAUUUUACCUUGAGAAAAUUAGAGUGUUUCAGGCAGGCUUAUGCCCGGAUACAUUAGCAUGGAAUAAUGGAACAGGACUUCGCCUCUUCUGUUGGUUUGAGGGGUUGAAGUAAUGAUUAAUAGGGAUAGUUGGGGGCAUUAGUACUUAACUGUCAGAGGUGAAAUUCUCGGAUUUGUUAAAGACUAACUUAUGCGAAAGCAUUUGCCAAGGAUGUUUUCAUUA
rnacentral:rRNA from 1 species